rnacentral:rRNA from 1 species
UACGUAGGGAGCAAGCGUUGUCCGGAAUUAUUGGGCGUAAAGAGCGCGUAGGUGGCUUCGUAAGUCCGCUGUGAAAGUCAAAGGCUCAACCUUUGAAAGCCGAUGGAUACUGCGGAGCUAGAGUACGGAAGAGGCGAGUGGAAUUCCUGGUGUAGCGGUGGAAUGCGCAGAUAUCAGGAGGAACACCAAUAGCGAAGGCAGCUCGCUGGGACGUUACUGACACUGAGGCGCGAAAGCGUGGGGAGCGAACAGG